rnacentral:lncRNA from 10 species
CCCCAGAUCUUCUGACUUCCGUGUCAAAACAUUUACCAUGACAUUAGAAAUUCCCAAAGCAGGAUGACUGAGAGCCUCGAAGCAUAAAAUGAUGCUGAAAAGAAAUGAAAUGAAAGGAAGAUGAGCCAAACCAUGAAAGUUAAUACUGGCAUUAUGAAAAGUAUUGCUAUGCAUCCAAUUUAUUUAAUUAUAAGUGGUUUUAAUUAAUUUCAAAAGAAGAUGGCCAUCCCCAUCAAUGUUUGGCAGAAUGCCUGCAUUUGAGGAUGAAGAAAAUAUUGUGUGUGUGCACAUGCGCAUGUAAUGCUUUUACGAUGAAAAAUGACUUCAAUCAUCAAUUCGAAAUCCUGUUCAAAGUGAAAUCACAUUUGCAUGACAAACAACACAGCAUCUACCAAUUAGAAUCAUGUUUACUUGGCAGAAAGUAGAGCAUUUGUGAAACCAAACACCAGUGUUGCAGCCACAGAGGAGAACUGCAUUUUAUUCAUCUUUUUGGUACUAGCAUAAGACAUAAAAGGUACUCAACUGGUGUCUAAAGAAUGCACGAAUGUAUCGUUUAAUAAGUGACAAACACACAGAGGAAAGAACACAGAUUAGCUGUCUGCAGAAGGGUGAGAACAAGUGUCAAAAAGGAAAAAAUAAAAUAACAAAAAGAGUAGAUUAGUGGAAAUCCAUAUUACUCUCAAGCUGUAAAUUGAUCC